rfam:Tupaia chinensis contig106796, whole genome shotgun sequence.
AGCUUUGCACAGUGGCAGUAUCAUAGCCAAUGAGGUUUAUCCGAGGCACGAUUAUUGCUAAUUGAAAGAAAUACAAAAGACCCCAAAUAGAAUCAACCCAAGAAGAUCUUCCCUAAGGUGAAUUUUAGCCAAUUGGAAAAGACCA